rnacentral:rRNA from 1 species
UACGGGGGGGGCAAGCGUUGUUCGGAAUUACUGGGCGUAAAGGGCUUGUAGGCGGCCAACUAAGUCAAACGUGAAGUCCCUCGGCUUAACCGGGGAACUGCGCUUGAUACUGGAUGGCUUGAGAUUGGGAGAGGGAUGCGGAAUUCCAGGUGUAGCGGUGAAAUGCGUAGAUAUCUGGAGGAACACCGGUGGCGAAGGCGGCAUCCUGGACCAACACUGACGCUGAGGAGCGAAAGCCAGGGGAGCAAACGGG